ensembl:misc_RNA Metazoa_SRP Metazoan signal recognition particle RNA
GUGGGCUCAUACACUGCCAAUCCUACUUCUGGGGAAACUGAGGCUAAUGGGUUGUGUGAGUUCAGGAGUUCUGAGCUGUGAUAGGAAUAAAGCCGACUGGGUGUCCACAUGAAAUAUGGCACCAUUAUGGUGACCCCUUGGGGGAUGAGGUGGCACAACAGGCUGCCCAAGGAAGAGCAAACUAACCCAGGUUGGAAACAGAGCAGGUCAAAUCUUGUGUGCUGAACAGUGCUGGGAUAGAGCUCAUGACUGGUUGCUGCACUCCAGCCUGAGCAAAUUAGGGAAAUUUAGUCUUCG